rnacentral:rRNA from 1 species
GUGGGGAAUAUUGGACAAUGGGCGAAAGCCUGAUCCAGCCAUGCCGCGUGUGUGAAGAAGGUCUUCGGAUUGUAAAGCACUUUAAGUUGGGAGGAAGGGCAGUAAGUUAAUACCUUGCUGUUUUGACGUUACCGACAGAAUAAGCACCGGCUAACUUCGUGCCAGCAGCCGCGGUAAUACGAAGGGUGCAAGCGUUAAUCGGAAUUACUGGGCGUAAAGCGCGCGUAGGUGGUUUUGUAAGUUGGAGGUGAAAUCCCCGGGCUCAACCUGUGAACUGCCUCCAAAACUGCAUGACUAGAGUACGGUAGAGGGUAGUGGAAUGUCCUGUGUAGCGGUGAAAUGCGUAGAUAUAGGAAGGAACACCAGUGGCGAAGGCGACUACCUGGACUGAUACUGACACUGAGGUGCGAAAGCGUGGGGAGCAAACAGGAUUAGAUACCCCGGUAGUCC